UGUUGACUCUGCCAACAAUAAUAAAAGCUAACGCUGCUCAGAUAUACCUUUCACUCCCUUAGUACGACUCUGCAAAAAGCCCCCUAAGUGAGUGAUAUCACUCCAAGUCUGGCGCUUUGCGUCUUGGACGGAGGGGUCACUCACGGAGGCAAGCUUUUCUUCACAACCACGACUACUCCACUCUGUAUGGGUGAUAUCCCUCCAAGUCUGACGCUUCGCGUCUGGGACGGAGGGGUCGCUCAUACCGGUCUGCGAGCAGAUGCACUUUGGCAGAUUUUGCCACAAGGGUUUCGGGCUAUCCUAAGUAACAACCGGGAAGUGUUGCCAAGAGAGAGAAAGACGUCAAAAUGCGGGAAACCUGAGAGGGUUUAUAAGGCUCAGCUAAAGCUGUGAACGCUCUUUUUACGUUGAACAAGUAGCGAAGUUAGAAGUGCGCGCGAAGUCAGUUUUAAUCUAGAAGACGAAACGAAAAGCCAGGGUGUAAAUCCGUGUAAAUUAAGAAGAAAAGUACAAAAGGAAAAGUCAGGACAUAAAAGCUAAUUGUGUGAAAAAACAAAAAGACACGAUUUAAAAGUUAAUUGUGUGAAAACCUAAAGAAAAGGUCAUUUCAGUAAAAAGUUAUUUGUACUAGCAACGAAUACAAAGAAGAGAGAAGCGCUGAAGAGGGUGUUUUAAAAGUUAAAGAAAAGUCAUUUAUGUACAAGAAAAAGGUCCUUGGAGGGGCCUUUUUGUGUUUUGUUCUGGUUUUACCCCAGAUAUUUUUCCCGACAGUUGCUCGUCGCCAGGUCGCCAUUCGAUUUGGCCCAAUAUUCCCCACCCCGCAGGAGCGGUGCUAUACAAUACGCCACAGUCGUGCGGAGUACACCCGAACGUGAUCCCGCCCAGGUUAAUCGGCAGAGAUACCCUGAUACGAGUAGCUGCCAACGCCGGUGUACCCAACCGGUGGUCCGAAGCCGGUGAGCCAAAGCAGGGGAACAGCAAGCAGAAAAAACCGUACAGCGAGGUCGACCCGCGGAAAAUUGAAAAGAGUACAAUGAGAGUUACACAGGCAGAAAAGCGCAAGUAAACCUAGGUUAAGAGCAAUAUUGUAUCGAAUCGGGAUGAAUAUAUUAUAAGUUAAAUGUAUGUACGCAAGUUUUAUAAUCCACACUAAUUUACACCCGCCACUUACUCCGGUAUUCGUAACUCGAAAGGAGUUUCCACCCCUCGUCGCUACUGAUUUAACGGGAAGGUGCUCUGAACAGAAGCUUUUGAGCAAGUAAUAGUUAGCAAGUACAUGUUUGGCAAAGCUUUCCACCAUGGUCGAGGUCCGCUAGGUGGUUCACUUUCCCUUAGUUCCUGCUCGCAAGAAUAAGAGUUGCGUGGUUGGUAUAGAAGCAGCUUGAGGCUUGCAUUCACUCCCCCAUCCGUCAUAUUUCCUCCCAACCCCUGAGCAGCAAGGC